UGAGAACGGUGUGUAAGUCCCAAGAGGGAAAACAGUGAGAUGUCGGAGGUGACAGCAGCAUCACUCCACGGAGGAAACACUUGAGGAGAGGAUGGACAAGCAAGGACCUACGAGAGGUGCUGGCAAUCAAGCCGAUCAGUGAGGCCACUUGUCUCUUCAAUGUGUUGGGCUUGAGCCCCUUAUCCAGACCCUCCUGGAGAAACUGUAGAAGACGGAUCUUUGAGGGAGACUUCUCUAUCAUGAGGCAGCAGCGAAUUAGAGACCAGCUGAGCCACUGGCUCGUCUGUAUUUGGAGUUUUCAGGAGAGACGCUGGUUCCUGUUGAAGAGAGUAAAAACGCACCGCUGCCAUGGGCUUGCGCACCAAGGCGGGAGAGGUAAGCAGAAGGAAAACAAGCAGCAGUGGGUACAGGAAAAUAGCAAGGUAGAAAGCUGCGGAAGGAAAAGGCUAGAAUUCACGGAGAGAGAGAAAAGCCUGCCUGGAGCUACGCAGGACUGAAAAAAAACUGGGCGGGGUCAUCCUCCUCAGCCCGGGUCUUUCUUCAACUAAUUUACUGUCCCUGGAGCACGUGAUGAGGAUAACCCGUAGAGAUGGCCUUGACCCCAGCAACUGAGAAUACCUUCGGCACUACUGCAGAAAAGAGGUUUAGAAAUUGGGGGACCCUUUCUGCUAGGAAAAAAAUCAAGAUGUAUACAUAAAUUUGUGUA